rnacentral:rRNA from 1 species
AGAGUUUGAUCCUGGCUCAGAAUCAACGCUGGCGGCGUGCCUAACACAUGCAAGUCGAACGCGAAAGUCCCGCAAGGGAUGAGUAGAGUGGCAAACGGGUGAGUAACGCGUGGGUGACCUACCUUCGAGUGGGGGAUAACGUUCCGAAAGGGACGCUAAUACCGCAUGACAUCCAGCCUUUGAAGAGGCGGAGAUCAAAGCUGGGGAUCGUAAGACCUGGCGCUUGAAGAGGGGCCCGCGUCCGAUUAGCUAGUUGGUGGGGUAACGGCCUACCAAGGCGACGAUCGGUAGCCGGCCUGAGAGGGCGGACGGCCACACUGGGACUGAGACACGGCCCAGACUCCUACGGGAGGCAGCAGUGGGGAACUGUUCGCAAUGGGCGAAAGCCUGACGACGCAACGCCGCGUGGAGGACGAAGAUUUUCGGAUCGUAAACUCCUUUCGAUCGGGACGAACGACUGGUGACCUAACACGUCAUCAGAGUGACGGUACCGAGAGAAGAAGCCCCGGCUAACUCCGUGCCAGCAGCGGCGGUAAUUC